rnacentral:rRNA from 1 species
AGAGUUUGAUCCUGGCUCAGAUUGAACGCUGGCGGCAGGCCUAACACAUGCAAGUCGAGCGGGGGUAGCAAUACCCUAGCGGCGAACGGGUGAGGAAUGCUUGGGAAUCUGCCUCGUAGUGGGGGAUAACGUUCCGAAAGGAACGCUAAUACCGCAUACGUCCUACGGGAGAAAGGGGGGGAUCUUCGGACCUCUCGCUAUGAGAUGAGCCCAAGCGGGAUUAGCUAGUUGGUGAGGUAAAGGCUCACCAAGGCGACGAUCCCUAGCUGGUCUGAGAGGAUGAUCAGCCACUCUGGAACUGAGACACGGUCCAGACUCCUACGGGAGGCAGCAGUGGGGAAUAUUGGACAAUGGGCGAAAGCCUGAUCCAGCCAUGCCGCGUGUGUGAAGAAGGCCUUCGGGUUGUAAAGCACUUUAAGCGAGGAGGAAGGUUCGUUACUUAAUACGUAACGGAAUUGACGUUACUCGCAGAAUAAGCACCGGCUAACUCUGUGCCAGCAGCCGCGGUAAUACAGAGGGUGCAAGCGUUAAUCGGAAUUACUGGGCGUAAAGCGCGCGUAGGCGGUUGCGUAAGUUGGAGGUGAAAUCCCCGGGCUCAACCUGGGCAUUGCCUUCAAAACUGCGCAACUAGAGUAUUGGAGAGGAAGGUAGAAUUCCAGGUGUAGCGGUGAAAUGCGUAGAGAUCUGGAGGAAUACCGAUGGCGAAGGCACCCUUCUGGCCAAAUACUGACGCUGAGGUGCGAAAGCAUGGGGAGCAAACAGGAUUAGAUACCCCUGGUAGUCCAUGCCGUAAACGAUGUCAACUAGGUGUUGGGGAACUUGAUUCCUUAGUGCCGCAGCUAACGCAUUAAGUUGACCGCCUGGGGAGUACGGUCGCAAGACUAAAACUCAAAUGAAUUGACGG